AAUCUAUCGUGUGGGCAUUUCUAAAUCAGCAUCUUAAAAGGCUUCCAUGCUUCGUGAAAACUUUGCCCCUCCAAUUGCUUAAACAUAGAGAUUUCCCUUCUUAGUUG
rfam:Gossypium hirsutum cultivar TM-1 chromosome 5, whole genome shotgun sequence